rnacentral:rRNA from 1 species
CCCUUAGAGUUUGAUCCUGGCUCAGAAUGAACGCUAAUAGUAUGCUUAAUACAUGCGAAUCGAACGGAUAUUUUUCGUGGUGUACGGGUGAGGAAAAGCAGAAUGCUACCUUUUAGUUUAGCAUAACAAUAUAUUUAAUAUAUUAAAUUCUAAAUAAUAAAAAAAGAUCUAUGUUUUUACACAUAGCUUCGCUAAAAGAUGGGUCUGUAAAAGAUUAGGUAGUUGGUAAAUUUAACAGCUUACCAAGCCAUUGAUCUUUAGUUGGUCUUAGAGGGUGAUCAACCACACUGGAACUGAAACAAGGUCCAGGCUGAAAUUUCGGCCAGCAGUAGGGAAUAUUGGACAAUGAACGAAAGUUUGAUCCAGCAAUACUAUCUGAAUGAAGACGGCUAAUUUAGUUGUAAAGUUCUUUCGUUAACGACGAUAAUGACGUUAGUUAAAGAAGCAGUCCCGGCUAAUACUCGUGCCAGCAGCCGCGGUAAAACGGGAGGGGCAAGCGUUAUUCGGCAUGAUUGGGCGUAAAGGGUCCGUAGACGGUAGAGUAAGUUCUUUGUUAAAUCUUAAAGCCUAACUUUAAAAUAACUUAGAAUACUGUUUUACUUGAGUUUUAUAUAGAAGACUGGAAUUUUAUACGGAAGGGUAAAAUCUGUAGAUAUAUAAAGGAACACCAGUAGCGAAGGCGAGUCUUUGGUAAAUACUGACGUUGAGGGACGAAAGUAUGGUAGCAAACAGGAUUAGAUACCCUGGUAGUCCAUACUGUAAACUCUGAGUGCUGUAAUUUAAUAUAAAUGUUAAUCUUUAAGAUUUUAUGGUUUAAUUAGAUUUUUAAGCUAACGCCAUAAGAACUCCGCCUGAGAAGUACGAUCGCAAGGUUGGAACUCAAAGGAAUUGACGGGGGCUAAUACUAGUGGUGGAGCAUGUGGUUUAAUGCGAUAAUCCGCGCAUAACCUUACCUAUUUUUGAUAUAAAACUAAUACUACAAUGUUACAUUUGGGUGAAAUUAUUGUAUUAAGUUUUACAGGUGUUGCACGACUGUCGUCAGCCCGUGUCGUGAGAUGUUUGGUUAAUUCCUUUAACGAGCGUAACUCUUAUUCUUAUUGUAAUGAUUUCUGAUUAACUUUAGUUUAUUCAUGAAAAUUCUAACGAUACGGUCAAUGAUAAGUUGAAGGAAGGUGAGAACGAAGUCAAGUCAAUGUGACCCUUAUAAAUUGGGCUACACACGUGCUACAAUGAAAAUUACAAAAAGUAACCAAAAUUUAAUUUUAAGUUAAUCUUUAAAGAUUUUCCCAGUUCGGAUUGAAAGCUGAAACUCGCUUUCAUAAAGAUGGAAUCACUAGUAAUCGCAAAUCAGCACGUUGCGGUGAAUUGUUAAUUAGCCUUGUACACACCGCCCGUCACAUGCAGAGAAUCAGUUUUGCUUGAAAAUUUAUCUUUGUAAGGUAAAUUCAUUGAAAAAUUGGUAAUUUGGAUGAAGUCGUAACAAGGUAACCAAGGGC